rnacentral:rRNA from 1 species
GAGGGGUGCUAGCGUUAUUCGGAAUUACUGGGCGUAAAGGGUGUGUAGACGGUUUUUAAGUCUGUUGUUAAAUCUCUCGGCCUAACCGGGAGCCAGCAGCGGAUACUGGAAGACUUGAGGAUGAGAGAGAGAAGUGGAAUUCUCGGAGUAGCGGUAAAAUGCGUAGAUCUCGAGAGGAACACCGAUGGCGAAGGCAGCUUCUUGGCUCAUUCCUGACGUUGAGACACGAAAGCGUGGGGAGCAAACAGGGAUUAGAUACCCUGGUAGUCCACGCUGUAAACGAUGAUCACUAGACGUCGGUCUUACUUAGUAGGAUCGGUGUCGUAGCUAACGCGUUAAGUGAUCCGCCUGGGACUACGGUCGCAAGACUA